rnacentral:rRNA from 3 species
GCGGCAGACGGGUGAGUAACGCGUGGGAAUCUACCCAUCUCUACGGAACAACAGUUGGAAACGACUGCUAAUACCGUAUACGCCCUUCGGGGGAAAGAUUUAUCGGAGAUGGAUGAGCCCGCGUUGGAUUAGCUAGUUGGUGGGGUAAAGGCCUACCAAGGCGACGAUCCAUAGCUGGUCUGAGAGGAUGAUCAGCCACACUGGGACUGAGACACGGCCCAGACUCCUACGGGAGGCAGCAGUGGGGAAUAUUGGACAAUGGGCGAAAGCCUGAUCCAGCCAUGCCGCGUGAGUGAUGAAGGCCCUAGGGUUGUAAAGCUCUUUCAACGGUGAAGAUAAUGACGGUAACCGUAGAAGAAGCCCCGGCUAACUUCGUGCCAGCAGCCGCGGUAAUACGAAGGGGGCUAGCGUUGUUCGGAAUUACUGGGCGUAAAGCGCACGUAGGCGGAUUGUUUAGUUAGGGGUGAAAUCCCAGGGCUCAACCCUGGAACUGCCUCUAAUACUGGCAAUCUAGAGUCCGAGAGAGGUGAGUGGAAUUCCGAGUGUAGAGGUGAAAU